rnacentral:rRNA from 1 species
GCCUUACACAUGCAAGUCGAACGGCAGCACGGGAGCUGUCCUGGGGGCGAGUGGCGAACGGGUGAGUAAAGUAUCGGAACGUGCCCAGUCGUGGGGGAUAACGUAGCGAAAGUUACGCUAAUACCGCAUACGAUCUAUGGAUGAAAGCGGGGGAUCGCAAGACCUCGCGCGAUUGGAGCGGCCGAUAUCAGAUUAGGUAGUUGGUGGGGUAAAGGCUCACCAAGGCGACGAUCUGUAGCUGGUCUGAGAGGACGACCAGCCACACUGGGACUGAGACACGGCCCAGACUCCUACCGGAGGGAGCAGUGGGGAAUAUUGGACAAUGGGCGAA